rnacentral:rRNA from 1 species
AACGAACGCUGGCGGCAGGCUUAACACAUGCAAGUCGAGCGCCCCGCAAGGGGAGCGGCAGACGGGUGAGUAACGCGUGGGAAUCUACCCAUCUCUACGGAAUAACGCAUGGAAACGUGUGCUAAUACCGUAUACGUCCUUCGGGAGAAAGAUUUAUCGGAGAUGGAUGAGCCCGCGUUGGAUUAGCGAGUUAGUGGGGUAAAGGCCUACCAAGGCGACGAUCCAUAGCUGGUCUGCGAGGAUGACCAGCCACACUGGGACUGGGACACGGCCCAGACUCCUACGGGAGGCGGCAGUGGGGAAUAUUGGACAAUGGGCGCAAGCCUGAUCCAGCCAUGCCGCGUGAGUGAUGAAGGCCCUAGGGUUGUAAAGCUCUUUCACCGGUGAAGAUAAUGACGGUAACCGGAGAAGAAGCCCCGGCUAACUUCGUGCCAGCCGCCGCCGUAAUAC